rnacentral:rRNA from 1 species
GACGAACGCUGGCGGCGUGCUUAACACAUGCAAGUCGUACGGUAAGGCCCUUUCGGGGGUACACGAGUGGCGCACGGGUGAGUAACACGUGAGUAACCUGCCCACAACUUUGGGAUAACGCUAGGAAACUGGUGCUAAUACUGGAUAUGUGCUCCUGCUGCAUGGUGGGGGUUGGAAAGCUCCGGCGGUUGUGGAUGGACUCGCGGCCUAUCAGCUUGUUGGUGGGGUAGUGGCCUACCAAGGCGGCGACGGGUAGCCGGCCUGAGAGGGUGACCGGCCACAUUGGGACUGAGAUACGGCCCAGACUCCUACGGGAGGCAGCAGUGGGGAAUAGUGCACAAUGGGCGCAAGCCUGAUGCAGCAACGCCGCGUGCGGGAUGACGGCCUUCGGGUUGUAAACCGCUUUCAGCAGGGACGAAGCUUUUUGUGACGGUACCUGCAGAAGAAGCACCGGCUAACUACGUG